AACGCACGAGACCUGCGGACCUGCGGAAGGAUCAUUACCGAGUGAGGGCCCUCUGGGUCCAACCUCCCACCCGUGUUUAUCGUACCUUGUUGCUUCGGCGGGCCCGCUUCACGGCCGCCGGGGGGCACCUGCCCCCGGGCCCGCGCCCGCCGAAGACAUCAUUGAACUCUGUCUGAAGAUUGCAGUCUGAGUAGAUUAGCUAAAUCAGUUAAAACUUUCAACAACGGAUCUCUAGAUCGG
rnacentral:misc_RNA from 1 species